GGCUUUACUGGUACAAGCAUCUUAAAGUUUAGUUAAGGUCAUACAGCAUUUUAAAAUAUGACAAGCAAAUCUUGGUACACAAAACAGGCAGAUGGCUUUUGCUAAUACAGAAACCCUAAAAUGGGUUAAGCAAAUGAUGAAAAACAAAUCUCUAGGAAGCUUUAUUGCUUUUGUUUGGCAACUCUCAAAACACAAGAUGAAACAAUGUAAUUUUAAUUCAAUGGCUGACUGGAUCCUUCUUUAAGUUCU
rnacentral:lncRNA from 1 species